UGCAAGUCGAACGGUCUUUUCUAUGGAAGCUUGCUUCCACUGAGAAGAUAGUGGCGAACGGGUGAGUAACACGUGGGUAACCUGCCCAUAAGAGGGGGAUAACAUCCGGAAACGGGUGCUAAUACCGCAUAGUUUUCUUGAUCGCAUGAUUGAGAAAAGGGAAAAGACGGCCUUUGUGCUGUCGCUUAUGGAUGGACCCGCGGCGUAUUAGUUAGUUGGUGAGGUAACGGCUCACCAAGACGAUGAUACGUAGCCGACCUGAGAGGGUGAUCGGCCACAUUGGGACUGAGACACGGCCCAAACUCCUACGGGAGGCAGCAGUAGGGAAUCUUCCGUCAAUGGACGAAAGUCUGACGGAGCAACGCCGCGUGAGUGAAGAAGGUUUUCGGAUCGUAAAACUCUGUUGUCAGAGAAGAACAAGUUGGAGAGUAACUGCUCCAGCCUUGACGGUAUCUGACCAGAAAGCCACGGCUAACUACGUGCCAGCAGCCGCGGUAAUACGUAGGUGGCAAGCGUUGUCCGGA
rnacentral:rRNA from 1 species